rnacentral:rRNA from 1 species
CCUACGGGGGGCUGCAGUGGGGAAUUUUCCGCAAUGGGCGAAAGCCUGACGGAGCAACGCCGCGUGGGUGAUGAAGUUUUUCGGAACGUAAAGCCCUUUCAGCAGGGACGAAGCGAGUGACGGUACCUGCAGAAGAAGCAUCGGCUAACUACGUGCCAGCAGCCGCGGUAAUACGUAGGAUGCGAGCGUUGUCCGGAAUUAUUGGGCGUAAAGAGAACGUAGGUGGUUUCUUAAGUUCGGUCUUAAAGACCGGGGCUCAACCCCGGGAAUGGACU